rnacentral:rRNA from 1 species
CCUACGGGAGGCAGCAGUGGGGAAUUUUCCGCAAUGGACGCAAGUCUGACGGAGCGACGCUGCGUGAAGGAUGACGGCCCGCGGGUUGUAAACUUCUUUUCUCGAAGAAGAAACAAAUGACGGUAUUCGAGGAAUAAGCAUCGGCUAACUCUGUGCCAGCAGCCGCGGUAAGACAGAGGAUGCAAGUGUUAUUCGGAUUGAUUGGGCGUAAAGCGUCUGUAGGCGGUUUAGAAAGUCUCUUGUGAAAUUCUUCAGCUCAACUGAGGGUCCGCAAAAGAAACUUCUAGGCUUGAGGGAAGUAGAGGUAUAGGGAAUUUCCGGUGGAGCGGUGAAAUGCGUAGAUAUCGGAAGGAACACCAAUAUGGCGAAGGCACUGUACUGGGCUUUUCCUGACGCUAAGAGACGAAAGCUAAAGGAGUGAUUAGGAUUAGAUACCCUAGUAAUUUUAGCCGUAAACGAUGGAAACUCACUGCCGAGCCGGUAUUCGGAGCGGUGGUCAAGCUAACGCGUGAAGUUUCCCGCCUGGGGAUUACGCAUGCAAAUGUGAAACUUAAAGGAAUUGACGGA